UGUAGCGGUGGUUUCGCUCUUUGUACCGCUAAUACGGCAGAUGUCGGCGCCGCCUCGCUCUUCGAAACCAUUUUAAAACUUCUUUAGAGCUACGUUUAGUAAACAAGGGAAAGGUCGGCCCUGAUGGUCGUUAACUCCGCCCACUCUUGGGUUAAUCUUUUUCUCUAAAAAGAAAAAUGUGCUUCUGGAAAUCUAGAAGAAAGGAUAGUAGAGAUAGAAAUAAACUUGUCGUUUCAUUUUCCCCCUUCUAUUUUUAUUUUGGUUUUUUAGUAAGAAUUCUGCUUCCAUAGAAGAGAGAAAAUCGGGAAUAUGAAAGGACACAUUGGAAUGGAUCUGCCGUCUCCCUUUUCGUCUUCUCACAGAUUUGGUGGGCAGAAGAGAGGUCAACAUACUUCUUCCUUGGCUGAAAAUCUAAUUAAAGUUUAACUUUUGUUAACUAUGGCACACACUAUCAUAUAUAUCAGCUGUCAACUGAUGACUGUCAAAUUCCAGGAAAAAUAAGAAGACUGCUUUAUCUCUGAGCAAAGCAAAUAUACUAUAUCCAUUAGUGAUUCCCAAGAAAGAGAAACUGAAAGCCAGCAUGAUGGGUAGAAGUCUUAAUAAAGGCAAAUACUUACAGGAAUAAACAACAGGUUUGUAAAACAAAGAAAAGCUGAUGUAAAAUCGUAAGCAGUUUCACUUAGUGAUCGCUUUGCUUAACUACCAAGUCGGAGGUCCCAAUUGUGAUCACCAAAUGAAGACCACUAUAAAUCUAUACACUGAUGUUAAUGUUAUUUGUAUAAGCACUAGAAAAAUAUUUACAUUUAACUUUGUAUGUGUUGAAAGUACUAAGAAUUAUAUUUAUUUAAUGUUGGCAAAAGGAAAACACUAUUGGAAGAAGAGAAGAUCAAGAAAAUGUAUCACUAAGUAGUAUGUUGAUUAUGGAAUCAAAGAAACUAAUUAUUAUUGAUUGUUGUUAAAUAUAUGAACCCAGACAACACAUUGUU